rnacentral:rRNA from 1 species
UACGGGGGGGGGGCAAGCGUUGUUCGGAAUUACUGGGCGUAAAGGGCUUGUAGGUGGCCAACUAAGUCAGACGUGAAAUCCCCUCGGCUUAACCGGGGGAACUGCGUCUGAUACUGGAUGGCUGGAGUGUGGGAGAGGAUGCGGAAUUCCAGGUGUAGCGGUGAAAUGCGUAGAUAUCUGGAGGAACACCGGUGGCGAAGGCGGCAUCCUGGACCAUUACUGACACUGAAAAGCGAAAGCCAGGGGAGCAAACGGG